rnacentral:rRNA from 1 species
AACGAACGCUGGCGGCGUGGAUAAGACAUGCAAGUCGAACGCUGAUUUGAGGGUAGCAAUAUUCUCAAGUCGGAGUGGCGCAAGGGUGCGUAACACGUGGGCAAUUUGCCAAGAAGUUUGGGAUAACUCGCUGAAAGGCGAGCUAAUACCGGAUGUGAUGUUUGGGAGGCAUCUCUUGAACCUUAAAGUUGGGGACCGUAAGGCCUGACGCUUCUUGAUAAGCCCGCGGCCUAUCAGCUAGUUGGUGAGGUAACGGCUCACCAAGGCUAAGACGGGUAGCUGGUCUGAGAGGACGACCAGCCUCACUGGAACUGAGAUACGGUCCAGACACCUACGGGUGGCAGCAGUCGAGAAUUUUUCUCAAUGGGGGAAACCCUGAUCUAGCCAUGCCGCGUGAUCGAUGAAGGCCUUAGGGUUGUAAAGAUCUUUCAGUGGGGAAGAUAAUGACGGUACCCACAGAAGAAGCCCCGGCUAACUCCGUGCCAGCAGCCGCGGUAAU